UGAGUAACCUGCCCUUGACUCUGGGAUAAGCCUGGGAAACCGGGUCUAAUACUGGAUACGACCUUCUGGCGCAUGCCAUGUUGGUGGAAAGCUUUUGUGGUUUUGGAUGGACUCGCGGCCUAUCAGCUUGUUGGUGGGGUAAUGGCCUACCAAGGCGACGACGGGUAGCCGGCCUGAGAGGGUGACCGGCCACACUGGGACUGAGACACGGCCCAGACUCCUACGGGAGGCAG
rnacentral:rRNA from 1 species